rnacentral:tRNA from 1 species
GUUGUAGUAUAGUGGUGAGUAUGCCCUCCUGUCACAUGGGUGACCCGGGUUCGAUCCCCGGCAAC